GGGCCCGUGGUGUAAUGGUUAUCACGUCAUCUUCCGGAGGUGCAUGGUUGCGGGUUCGAGUCCCGCCGGGCCCU
rfam:Ogataea parapolymorpha DL-1 chromosome VI, whole genome shotgun sequence.